GGCUUGUAUACAUUGGUUUCUUUGUCAUAUAGUUCAAUUGCUGUUGCUUGUAAAUGUUUUAUAAACCAGUACUGUGAAGUAGCGAAAUUUCGGGCCGUCUUUCACAACAAAUAACAUCACAAUAACUGCACAUCAUUUUCUCUUUAAUACAGAAUCAUUUUCCCCGUCCAUUGAGUUAUAAUUUCCAAAACGAACCAGUCGCUAUAACGUAAAAUAAGCGGGUAUUUGUGAGCAAAAAUGCCCUUUGAUAUGACACGAGGUAACCAGCGCCAUCUUGUCUUCUCCAAACAUUACAGAUUUUCCCGCCAAAACCCGCCCCCAA